rnacentral:rRNA from 1 species
GCCCAGACUCCUACGGGAGGCAGCAGUGGGGAAUAUUGCACAAUGGGGGGAACCCUGAUGCAGCGACGCCGCGUGGGUGAAGGAGCACCUCGGUGCGUAAAGCCCUAUCGGCAGGGAAGAAAAAGACGGUACCUUACUAAGAAGCCCCGGCUAACUACGUGCCAGCAGCCGCGGUAAUACGUAGGGGGCCAGCGUUAUCCGGAAUUACUGGGUGUAAAGGGAGCGUAGACGGAAAGGCAAGUCAGAAGUGAAAGCCAAAGGCUCAACCAUGGGACUGCUUUUGAAACUGUCAAACUAGAGUACGGGAGAGGUAAGAGGAAUUCCUAGUGUAGCGGUGAAAUGCGUAGAUAUUAGGAGGAACACCAGUGGCGAAGGCGUCUUACUGGGCCGAAACUGACGUUGAGGCUCGAAAGCGUGGGGAGCAAACAGGAUUAGAUACCCGAGUAA